rnacentral:rRNA from 1 species
CCAUGGUUUCACGGGUACGGGGAAUAAGGGUUCGAUUCCGGAGAGGNAGCCUGAGAAACGGCUACCACAUCCAAGGCAAGGCAGCAGGCGCGCAAAUUACCCAAUCCUAAUUCAGGGNAGGUAGUGACAAUAAAUAACGAUACAGGGCCCAUUCGGGUCUUGUAAUUGGAAUGAGUACAAUGUAAAUACCUUAACGAGGAACAAUUGGAGGGCAAGUCUGGUGCCAGCAGCCGCGGUAAUUCCAGCUCCAAUAGCGUAUAUUAAAGUUGUUGCAGUUAAAAAGCUCGUAGUUGAACUUUGGGCCCGGUUGGCCGGUCCGAUUUUUUCGUGUACUGGAUUUCCAACGGGGCCUUUCCUUCUGGCUAACCUUGAGUCCUUGUGGCUCUUGGCGAACCAGGACUUUUACUUUGAAAAAAUUAGAGUGUUCAAAGCAGGNNUAUUGCUCGAAUAUAUUAGCAUGGAAUAAUANAAUAGGACGUUUGGUUCUAUUUUGUUGGUUUCUAGGACCAUCGUAAUGAUUAAUAGGGACGGUCGGGGGCAUCANUAUUCAAUUGUCAGAGGUGAAAUUCUUGGAUUUAUUGAAGACUAACUACNGCGAAAGCAUUUGCCAAGGACGUUUUCAUUAAUCAAGAACGANAGUNAGGGGAUCGAAGAUGAUCACAUACCGUCGUAGUCUUAACCAUAAACUAUGCCGAC